rnacentral:rRNA from 1 species
UGGGGAUUAUUGCACAAUGGGCGCAAGCCUGAUGCAGCCAUGCCGCGUGUAUGAAGAAGGCCUUCGGGUUGUAAAGUACUUUCAGCGGGGAGGAAGGGAGUAAAGUUAAUACCUUUGCUCAUUGACGUUACCCGCAGAAGAAGCACCGGCUAACUCCGUGCCAGCAGCCGCGGUAAUACGGCGGGUGCAAGCGUUAAUCGGAAUUACUGGGCGUAAAGCGCACGCAGGCGGUCUGUCAAGUCGGAUGUGAAAUCCCCGGGCUUAACCUGGGAACUGCAUGCGGAACUGGCAGGCUAGAGUGGUGUAGAGGGGGGUAGAAUUCCAGGUGUGGCGAUGAGAUGCGUGGAGAUCUGGAGGAAUAACGGUGGAGAAGGCGGCCCCCUGGACAAAGACUGACGCACAGGUGGGAAAGCGGGGGGAGCAAACAGG